CGCUAUCAAACAUAAUUUUAAAAGAGGGUUAAUAUCUUUUUUAUCUCUUUAUACUUUUGCAUGAUUCAUAUAUUUAUGAGCAUGUUUUCUUCUUAAAAAUGCUAAAUUCUAUCACCAAAUACUCAUUUGGAAGAGUUGUUGCUUGUUGUGUAAUACAAUGAGUGAUCUUUCGCCUCUUUUCACAUCCUCGUUUGACAAAAUGAAUAAACCAAUUGUGAUAUCUCCGGUUGUCAUCUUAUUCUCAAUCAACUAAUCAGCGAUUGUUCAAAUUCUUUCUAAUCACAAUUUUCUUCCUUUGAUAUGAAUUGAAUUGAAUUUCUUUGAUAGUAACCACAUUAUCUUAAACUUUAAUUUUGGUCAAUCUUUUUUCAAAAUCUAACAAAGACAACCAACUCUUAAUCUUCCAAAGCAAAGCAACCAUCCAUGUCUAAGUCAUUCCCUACGGCUCAUUGAGUUAAAAUUCUCAUUUCCUUUGCCCAAUGGGCCAAUGGGCCCAUUUCUUCAAUUUUGCUCCGUGGCUCACUAAGCUUCUUCACUCUGAUUUUGUCGCUUUUACACCCAACUCAUAGGCCCAAAAUAUCUUCAGUUCCAUAGCCCACUUUUGGAUUUGAGCACGCGGUCCAACGGUCGGCCCAAACUUUGUGACUUCAGCACUUGCAAAACAAAAUAUAAGGAAAGAUAUUCUCCUUCAAAAUUCAAUCAUACUCUAAACUUCUAAAUUAAGUUUGUUGACAAUUAUAGAUUUUCCCAGAAAAGAAAAUUACUUUUUUUUUAUUGUAAGUAUAGUUGAACUGUGAUAGUAUUUGUACUAUCAACUUUAAACCUAUAGGUGUAAAAGAACAUUUAACCAGUAAUUCUAAUUGUUUCAUAUUUCUCUCUUUUUAUCUUUUUCAUUUUCAAUCGUUGCUUCGUCGCUUUUCAAAUAAGUCGUGAAAUUUAGAAAAUAUUUAAAACUCCAACUUUGAAAUCAUGGCAAUACACAUAUGAUAAAUUACCGCUUAGUCAUACUCACUUCAUUUCUAAACAUUUCAUAUCCAUGAAUCAACAAAAUUACAAGAGAAAUGAAUGACAACUACUAAUUAAUAAGUAUACAAAAAAAAAAAAAAGACUUAAUCGAUACAACAACGAACUUUACAGUACGACCUUUAUCCACUAUAAAUAUAUAUGGUCAAGAUAUGUUAACAUUGAAAUCGAGAGUAACAAUAAAGCGACAGGUGAGAACUUAAAUAACAAAAACAAAGAUGGAACAAGAGGAAAAAAAAUAUCACACAUUAAACAUAAAAGUGCUUCAAUUGUGUUCGUUAAAGGAAAACAUUACAAGUAUUUAUAGAUAGAUAAACAAAUAAUCACACUAUUGCACUAAUU
rnacentral:lncRNA from 1 species